rnacentral:sRNA from 1 species
AAAAUACAUACUUUAUUACAUUCUUUUCAUACAGUAACAAUAAGUCGUAAAUUCUAAGCAUAAGAAAAAAAUAUGGCUAAACUAAGCUCCCAUGUUACUGCGCUAUUCAUUGUUGCAACUUUGGUGUGUGCGUUUAUUCCUGUAAUUUCUGUCGAAGAAGCUGAAGCAAAAUCAUUAUGGAACACUUGUCUCGUUAAAAUCACUCCUAAAUGUGCAUUGAAUAUAAUCUAUGUUGUUUUUGGAAAUGGAACCCUCAUUGAGUCGUGUUGCCACGAUCUUGUCCAAGAAGGAAAAGUGUGUCACGAUAAUCUCAUUAAAUAUAUUGCUGAUAGACCAAGCUUAAUUGGUCGUGAAACACAAUACUUGAAGAAGAGGGAUGACGUGUGGAGUCAUUGUGUGUCAAUCUCUAAAACUGCUUAAAAUAUGUGUGAUUUAAAUAUUAUUUUGA